UUAACACAUGCAAGUCGAGGGGCAGCAUGGUCUUAGCUUGCUAAGGCUGAUGGCGACCGGCGCACGGGUGAGUAACACGUAUCCAACCUGCCGUCUACUCUUGGCCAGCCUUCUGAAAGGAAGAUUAAUCCAGGAUGGCAUCAUGAGUUCACAUGUCCGCAUGAUUAAAGGUAUUUUCCGGUAGACGAUGGGGAUGCGUUCCAUUAGAUAGUAGGCGGGGUAACGGCCCACCUAGUCAACGAUGGAUAGGGGUUCUGAGAGGAAGGUCCCCCACAUUGGAACUGAGACACGGUCCAAACUCCUACGGGAGGCAGCAGUGAGGAAUAUUGGUCAAUGGGCGAUGGCCUGAACCAGCCAAGUAGCGUGAAGGAUGACUGCCCUAUGGGUUGUAAACUUCUUUUAUAAAGGAAUAAAGUCGGGUAUGCAUACCCGUUUGCAUGUACUUUAUGAAUAAGGAUCGGCUAACUCCGUGCCAGCAGCCGCGGUAAUACGGAGGAUCCGAGCGUUAUCCGGAUUUAUUGGGUUUAAAGGGAGCGUAGAUGGAUGUUUAAGUCAGUUGUGAAAGUUUGCGGCUCAACCGUAAAAUUGCAGUUGAUACUGGAUGUCUUGAGUGCAGUUGAGGCAGGCGGAAUUCGUGGUGUAGCGGUGAAAUGCUUAGAUAUCACGAAGAACUCCGAUUGCGAAGGCAGCCUGC
rnacentral:rRNA from 1 species